rnacentral:rRNA from 1 species
UACGUAGGGCGCAAGCGUUAUCCGGAAUUAUUGGGCGUAAAGAGCUCGUAGGCGGCUUGUCGCGUCGCUGUGAAAACCUGGGGCUCAACCCCGGGCCUGCAGCCGAUACGAGCAAACUAGAGUGUUGCAGGGGGAGACUGGAAUUCCUGGUGUAGCGGUGAAAUGCGCAGAUAUCAGGAGGAACACCGGUGGCGAAGGCGGGUCUCUGGGCAACAACGUGACGCUGAGGAGCGAAAGCGUGGGGAGCGAACAGG